rnacentral:rRNA from 1 species
UCGCUUGCCAGGGGACUACGAGUCCCCAGCUUGAAACCCAAAGGACUUGGCGGUGCUUUAGACCCCCCUAGAGGAGCCUGUUCUAGAACCGAUAACCCCCGUUUAACCUCACCCCCUCUUGUUCCCCCCGCCUAUAUACCGCCGUCGUCAGCUUACCCUGUGAAGGACUAACAGUGAGCAUAAUUGGCACAGCUAAAACGUCAGGUCGAGGUGUAGCGUAUGAGGGGGGAAGAAAUGGGCUACAUUCACUGAGCCAGUGAAUAACGAACGAUGCUUUGAAACAACCAUCUGAAGGAGGAUUUAGCAGUAAGAGGGCAGUAGAGCGCCCUCUGAAACGCCUGAGCGCG